rnacentral:misc_RNA from 1 species
GAUGAAGAACGUAGCGAAAUGCGAUAAGUAAUGUGAAUUGCAGAAUUCAGUGAAGCAUCGAAUCUUUGAACGCACAUUGCGCCCGCCAGUAUUCUGGCGGGCAUGCCUGUUCGAGCGUCAUUACAACCCUCAGGCCCCCGGGCCUGGCGUUGGGGAUCGGCGGAAGCCCCCUGCGGGCACAACGCCGUCCCCCAAAUACAGUGGCGGUCCCGCCGCAGCUUCCAUUGCGUAGUAGCUAACACCUCGCAACUGGAGAGCGGCGCGGCCACGCCGUAAAACACCCAACUUCUGAAUGUUGACCUCGAAUCAGGUAGGAAUACCCGCUGAACUUAAGCAUAUCAAUAAGCGGAGGA